rnacentral:rRNA from 1 species
GACGAACGCUGGCGGCGUGCUUAACACAUGCAAGUCGAACGAUGAAGCCUAGCUUGCUGGGUGGAUUAGUGGCGAACGGGUGAGUAACACGUGAGUAACCUGCCCUUGGCUCUGGGAUAAGCGCUGGAAACGGUGUCUAAUACUGGAUAUGACUUCCUGCCGCAUGGUGGGGGGUGGAAAGCUUUUUUGCGGCUUUGGAUGGACUCGCGGCCUAUCAGCUUGUUGGUGAGGUAGUGGCUCACCAAGGCGACGACGGGUAGCCGGCCUGAGAGGGUGACCGGCCACACUGGGACUGAGACACGGCCCAGACUCCUACGGGAGGCAGCAGUGGGGAAUAUUGCACAAUGGGCGAAAGCCUGAUGCAGCAACGCCGCGUGGGGGAUGACGGCCUUCGGGUUGUAAACCUCUUUUGGUAGGGAAGAAGCCUUCGGGUGACGGUACCUGCAGAAAAAGGACCGGCUAACUACGUGCCAGCCGCCGCCGUAAGAC